rnacentral:rRNA from 1 species
UACGAAGGGGCUAGCGUUGCUCGGAAUGACUGGGCGUAAAGGGCGCGUAGGCGGCUUGCACAGUCAGGCGUGAAAUUCCUGGGCUCAACCUGGGGACUGCGCUUGAGACGUGUGGGCUUGAGUGGGAAGAGGAUCGCGGAAUUCCCGGUGUAGAGGUGAAAUUCGUAGAUAUCGGGAGGAACACCGGUGGCGAAGGCGGGCUCUGGGCCGAUACUGACGCUGAGGAGCGAAAGCGUGGGGAGCGAACAGG